rnacentral:rRNA from 1 species
AAUGUGCGAAAGCACGACAAGGUUAAUCCGAGUGAUUUCUGCUAAAGAAAUCUUUUGUCAGCCAUAAAACCACUGGCGAAUAAGGGGUGGGCAAGUUCUGGUGUCAGCCGCCGCGGUAAAACCAGCACCUCAAGUGGUCAGGAUGAUUAUUGGGCCUAAAGCAUCCGUAGCCGGCUUUGUAAGUUUUCGGUUAAAUCCAUGUGCUCAACGCAUGGGCUGCCGAAAAUACUGCAUGGCUAGGGAGUGGGAGAGGUAGACGGUACUCGGUAGGAAGGGGUAAAAUCCUUUGAUCUAUUGAUGACCACCUGUGGCGAAGGCGGUCUACCAGAACACGUUCGACGGUGAGGGAUGAAAGCUGGGGGAGCAAACCGGAUUAGAUACCCGGGUAGUCCCAGCUGUAAACGAUGCAGACUCGAUGAUGCAUUGGCAUAAUAGCCAAUGCAGUGUCGCAGGGAAGCCGUUAAGUCUGCCGCCUGGGAAGUACGUACGCAAGUAUGAAACUUAAAGGAAUUGGCGGGGGAGCACCACAAGGGGUGAAGCCUGCGGUUCAAUUGGAGUCAACGCCAGAAAUCUUACCCGGAGAGACAGCAGAAUGAAGUCAGCGAGCU